rnacentral:rRNA from 1 species
UACGGAGGAUGCGAGCGCUAUCCGGAUUUAUUGGGUUUAAAGGGUGCGUAGGCGGGCUUUUAAGUCAGCGGUAAAAAUUCGGGGCUCAACCCCGUCCGGCCGUUGAAACUGGGGGUCUUGAGUGGGCGAGAAGAAGGCGGAAUGCGUGGUGUAGCGGUGAAAUGCAUAGAUAUCACGCAGAACUCCGAUUGCGAAGGCAGCAUACCGGCGCCCGACUGACGCUGAGGCACGAAAGCGUGGGGAUCGAACAGG